UGAAAACUAUCACUCCACAAGUGAGUAGAUAGUUUCGUUUGAUGCGCAUCUCCAAUGACUCUGGUGAAUACGGGCGCUCGUUCGAUUGUUAUAUACACCUUCAACUUUAUGAUGGAAUGGAGCUCAGCAGGAACAUUUUUCAUCUACGCGGCCAUUGGCGGUUCAACUGUUGUGUUCGUUGCGAAGCUAGUGACGGAGACCAAGGGGCGAACGCUCGAAGAACUACAAGCAUCAAUUGCACAUUUUGUCUAAUAAGAUGAACUAUGAAGCCAUGAUAGUACAGCAGAGGCUGUAUUUAGAGCCCAAAGCCUGGCUUUCUCGUGUCAUAUAUAGGUUUGUAAUUUGUGAUUCCCACUCUUAUCCACAACUGCCCAGUUCGAAUUCCCAUCGAACUCUGCAGCGGAUAGAGCGGAAGCAAAGUCCUGCUCUAUCCACAACUCUCCCGGCCGCGGAAUGCCAUAAGUUGAUUAAGUCUUGGGUAUAUAUAUUUUAAAUGAUUUUGUAAUUAUAGAAAUAAAUCUCUACUGUAACAAAUUA